AUUGAACGCUGGCGGCAUGCCUUACACAUGCAAGUCGAACGGUAACAGGUCUUCGGAUGCUGACGAGUGGCGAACGGGUGAGUAAUACAUCGGAACGUGCCCGAGAGUGGGGGAUAACGAGGCGAAAGCUUUGCUAAUACCGCAUACGAUCUCAGGAUGAAAGCAGGGGACCGCAAGGCCUUGCGCUCACGGAGCGGCCGAUGGCAGAUUAGGUAGUUGGUGGGAUAAAAGCUUACCAAGCCGACGAUCUGUAGUUGGUCUGAGAGGACGACCAGCUAGACUUGGACUGAGGAACGUGCCAGACUCUGACGGGAGGGAGCAGUGGGGAAUGUUUGAUAUUGGUCGCAAGCCUGAUCCAGCCAUGCCGCGUGCAGGAUGAAAGCCUGCGGGUUGUAAACUGCUUUUGUACGGAACGAAAAGACUCCUUCUAAUAAAGGGGGUCCAUGACGGUACCGUAAGAAUAAGCACCGGCUAACUACGUGCCAGCAGCCGCUGUAAUAC
rnacentral:rRNA from 1 species